rnacentral:rRNA from 1 species
GACGAACGCUGGCGGCGUGCUUAACACAUGCAAGUCGAACGAGAUCCAAUGUGUAGCAAUACACAGGAAGAUCUAGUGGCGAACGGGUGAGGAACACGUGAGAAACGUACCCCAGACUUUGGGAUAACAGUCCGAAAGGACUGCUAAUACCAAAUAACGUCGGAAGUCCGCAUGGACAUCUGACGAAAGGGAUUCCGGUUUGGGAGCGUCUCGCGGACCUAUCAGCUAGUUGGAGGGGUAACGGCCCACCAAGGCAACGACGGGUAGCUGGUCUGAGAGGAUGGUCAGCCACACUGGGACUGAGACACGGCCCAGACUCCUACGGGAAGCAGCAGUGGGGAAUCUUGCGCAAUGGGCGAAAGCCUGACGCAGCAACGCCGCGUGCGGGAAGAAGGCUUUCGGGCUGUAAACCGCUUUCAGUAGGAACGAAACUGACGGUACCUACAGAAGAAGGAGCGGCCAACUAUGUG